UACGGAGGGUGCAAGCGUUAAUCGGAAUUACUGGGCGUAAAGCGUGCGUAGGUGGUCUUUUAAGUCGGAUGUGAAAUCCCUGAGCUUAACUUAGGAAUUGCAUUCGAUACUGGGAGACUAGAGUAUGGGAGAGGAUGGUAGAAUUCCAGGUGUAGCGGUGAAAUGCGUAGAGAUCUGGAGGAAUACCGAUGGCGAAGGCAGCCAUCUGGCCUAAUACUGACACUGAGGUACGAAAGCAUGGGGAGCAAACAGG
rnacentral:rRNA from 1 species